CAGUUUUCUGCAUUCUCUCUGAAAAUUGUUCGCGGUGAUUAAUUGGGGUUUUUCCCAGUAUUUGAAGCUAUAUAAGUGUAUUGAGUAAUUUGCUAAAUUAUGAUGAACAUGAAGGGAAUUUGGACCAAACAGACAUUGAUUAAUCUCCUGUUAGGGCAAUUUCUCUCCCUUUUGAUUACUUCUACUGGGUUUUUAUCAUCCGAACUCGCUAGAAAAGGAAUCAAUGCACCGACGUCCCAGUCUUUUCUUAAUUACGUGCUCUUGGCAUUAUUUUAUGGAGUUUUUAUGAUUUACAGGCAAGAAGGGAUCAAGGCAAAAUGGUAUUUUUACAUCCUCCUUGGAAUAGUUGAUGUGGAGGCCAACUUUCUAGUUGUGAAGGCUUACCAGUACACAUCCUUAACAAGCGUGAUGUUGCUGGAUUGCUGGGCAAUUCCGUGUGUUCUGCUUUUUACGUGGUUUUUCUUGAAGACAAAAUACAGACCCAGAAAAUUA
rnacentral:misc_RNA from 1 species